GAUGAACGCUGGCGGCGUGCCUAAUACAUGCAAGUCGAGCGAACGGACGAGAAGCUUGCUUUUCUGAUGUUAGCGGCGGACGGGUGAGUAACACGUGGAUAACCUACCUAUAAGACUGGGAUAACUUCGGGAAACCGGAGCUAAUACCGGAUAAUAUUUUGAACCGCAUGGUUCAAAAGUGAAAGACGGUCUUGCUUUCACUUAUAGAUGGAUCCGCGCUGCAUUAGCUAGUUGGUAAGGUAACGGCUUACCAAGGCAACGAUGCAUAGCCGACCUGAGAGGGUGAUCGGCCACACUGGAACUGAGACACGGUCCAGACUCCUACGGGAGGCAGCAGUAGGGAAUCUUCCGCAAUGGGCGAAAGCCUGACGGAGCAACGCCGCGUGAGUGAUGAAGGUCUUCGGAUCGUAAAACUCUGUUAUUAGGGAAGAACAUAUGUGUAAGUAACUGUGCACAUCUUGACGGUACCUAAUCAGAAAGCCACGGCUAACUACGUG
rnacentral:rRNA from 1 species